UACGUAGGGUGCAAGCGUUACUCGGAAUUACUGGGCGUAAAGCGUGCGCAGGCGGCUUUGCAAGACAGAUGUGAAAUCCCCGGGCUUAACCUGGGAACUGCAUUUGUGACUGCAUGGCUGGAGUGCGGCAGAGGGGGAUGGAAUUCCGCGUGUAGCAGUGAAAUGCGUAGAUAUGCGGAGGAACACCGGUGGCGAAGGCGGCCAUCUGGACGGAUACUGACGCUGAGACGCGAAAGCGUGGGGAGCAAACAGG
rnacentral:rRNA from 1 species